UACGUAGGGUGCAAGCGUUGUCCGGAAUUAUUGGGCGUAAAGAGCUCGUAGGCGGUCAGUCGCGUCUGCUGUGAAAACUCGGGGCUUAACCCCGGGCCUGCAGUGGGUACGGGCUGACUAGAGUGCGGUAGGGGAGACUGGAAUUCCUGGUGUAGCGGUGGAAUGCGUAGAGAUCCGGAAGAACACCGGUGGCGAAGGCGGUCUGCUGGGGCAGUUGCUGACACUGAGGCGCGACAGCGUGGGGAGCAAACAG
rnacentral:rRNA from 1 species